UACGUAGGGGGCUAGCGUUGUCCGGAAUCAUUGGGCGUAAAGCGCGUGUAGGCGGUCCGGUAAGUCCGCUGUGAAAGUCGGGGGCUCAACCCUUGAAAGCCGGUGGAAACUGUCGGGCUAGAGUACGGAAGAGGCGAGUGGAAUUCCUGGUGUAGCGGUGAAAUGCGCAGAUAUCAGGAGGAACACCAAUUGCGAAGGCAGCUCGCUGGGACGUUACUGACGCUGAGACGCGAAAGCGUGGGUAGCAAACAGG
rnacentral:rRNA from 1 species